rnacentral:rRNA from 1 species
UACGAAGGGGGCUGGCGUUGCUCGGAAUCACUGGGCGUAAAGGGUGCGUAGGCGGGUUUUUAAGUCAGAGGUGAAAUCCUGGAGCUCAACUCCAGAACUGCCUUUGAUACUGAAAGUCUUGAGUAUGGGAGAGGUGAGUGGAACUGCGAGUGUAGAGGUGAAAUUCGUAGAUAUUCGCAAGAACACCAGUGGCGAAGGCGGCUCACUGGCCCAUAACUGACGCUGAGGCACGAAAGCGUGGGGAGCAAACAGG